CCCCUUUAAUAGGUUUUUAUUAUCACUCUCAGGAUGAACGCUGGCGGCGUGCCUAAUACAUGCAAGUCGAACGCACAGCGAAAGGUGCUUGCACCUUUCAAGUGAGUGGCGAACGGGUGAGUAACACGUGGACAACCUGCCUCAAGGCUGGGGAUAACAUUUGGAAACAGAUGCUAAUACCGAAUAAAACUUAGUGUCGCAUGACAAAAAGUUAAAAGGCGCUUCGGCGUCACCUAGAGAUGGAUCCGCGGUGCAUUAGUUAGUUGGUGGGGUAAAGGCCUACCAAGACAAUGAUGCAUAGCCGAGUUGAGAGACUGAUCGGCCACAUUGGGACUGAGACACGGCCCAAACUCCUACGGGAGGCUGCAGUAGGGAAUCUUCCACAAUGGGCGAAAGCCUGAUGGAGCAACGCCGCGUGUGUGAUGAAGGCUUUCGGGUCGUAAAGCACUGUUGUAUGGGAAGAACAGCUAGAAUAGGAAAUGAUUUUAGUUUGACGGUACCAUACCAGAAAGGGACGGCUAAAUACGUGCCAGCAGCCGCGGUAAUACGUAUGUCCCGAGCGUUAUCCGGAUUUAUUGGGCGUAAAGCGAGCGCAGACGGUUUAUUAAGUCUGAUGUGAAAGCCCGGAGCUCAACUCCGGAAUGGCAUUGGAAACUGGUUAACUUGAGUGCAGUAGAGGUAAGUGGAACUCCAUGUGUAGCGGUGGAAUGCGUAGAUAUAUGGAAGAACACCAGUGGCGAAGGCGGCUUACUGGACUGCAACUGACGUUGAGGCUCGAAAGUGUGGGUAGCAAACAGGAUUAGAUACCCUGGUAGUCCACACCGUAAACGAUGAACACUAGGUGUUAGGAGGUUUCCGCCUCUUAGUGCCGAAGCUAACGCAUUAAGUGUUCCGCCUGGGGAGUACGACCGCAAGGUUGAAACUCAAAGGAAUUGACGGGGACCCGCACAAGCGGUGGAGCAUGUGGUUUAAUUCGAAGCAACGCGAAGAACCUUACCAGGUCUUGACAUCCUUUGAAGCUUUUAGAGAUAGAAGUGUUCUCUUCGGAGACAAAGUGACAGGUGGUGCAUGGUCGUCGUCAGCUCGUGUCGUGAGAUGUUGGGUUAAGUCCCGCAACGAGCGCAACCCUUAUUGUUAGUUGCCAGCAUUCAGAUGGGCACUCUAGCGAGACUGCCGGUGACAAACCGGAGGAAGGCGGGGACGACGUCAGAUCAUCAUGCCCCUUAUGACCUGGGCUACACACGUGCUACAAUGGCGUAUACAACGAGUUGCCAACCCGCGAGGGUGAGCUAAUCUCUUAAAGUACGUCUCAGUUCGGAUUGUAGUCUGCAACUCGACUACAUGAAGUCGGAAUCGCUAGUAAUCGCGGAUCAGCACGCCGCGGUGAAUACGUUCCCGGGUCUUGUACACACCGCCCGUCACACCAUGGGAGUUUGUAAUGCCCAAAGCCGGUGGCCUAACCUUUUAGGAAGGAGCCGUCUAAGGCAGGACAGAUGACUGGGGUGAAGUCGUAACAAGGUAGCCGUAGGAGAACCUGCGGCUGGAUACCUUCCUUUUCUAACUGGAUCACCUCCUU
rnacentral:rRNA from 1 species